GAUCAUGGCUCAGGAUGAACGCUAGCUACAGGCUUAACACAUGCAAGUCGAGGGGCAUCAGGGAGAAAGCUUGCUUCUUGCUGGCGACCGGCGCACGGGUGAGUAACGCGUAUCCAACUUCCCCUUAGUAGGGCAUAGCCCGGCGAAAGUCGGAUUAAUACUCUAUGUUGUAUUUAGAAGACAUCUGAAGAAUACCAAAGGUUUACCGCUAUAGGAUGGGGAUGCGUCUGAUUAGGUUGUUGGCGGGGUAACGGCCCACCAAGCCCACGAUCAGUAGGGGUUCUGAGAGGAAGGUCCCCCACAUUGGAACUGAGACACGGUCCAAACUCCUACGGGAGGCAGCAGUGAGGAAUAUUGGUCAAUGGACGUAAGUCUGAACCAGCCAAGUAGCGUGCAAGGAUGACGGCCCUAUGGGUUGUAAACUGCUUUUAUAUAGGGAUAAAGUGCACUACGUGUAGUGUUUUGUAGGUACUAUAUGAAUAAGGACCGGCUAAUUCCGUGCCAGCAGCGGC
rnacentral:rRNA from 1 species